UACAGAGGGUGCAAGCGUUGUUCGGAAUUAUUGGGCGUAAAGCGCGUGUAGGCGGCUUUGUAUGUCGGGUGUGAAAGCCCCUCGGCUUAACCGAGGAAGUGCGCCCGAAACUGCAGAGCUUGAGUGCCGGAGAGGAGAGCGGAACACCCGGUGUAGAGGUGAAAUUCGUAGAUAUCGGGUAGAACACCAGUGGCGAAGGCGGCUCUCUGGACGGUAACUGACGCUGAGACGCGAAAGCG
rnacentral:rRNA from 1 species